rnacentral:lncRNA from 10 species
AGAAGGCAGGGAUAGAAGUCAACCUAAGAAGGUUGGGCAUGGUGGCUCACACCUGUAAUCCCAGCACUUGGGAGGCCUAGGUGGGUGGAUCACUUGAGGCCAGGAGUUCAAGACCAGCCUGACAAACAUGGUGAAACCCCGUCUCUACUAAAAAUACAAAACUUAGCCAGGUGUGGUGGCGUGCACCUGUAAUCCCAGCUACUCUUGGGAGGCUGAGGCACGAAAAUUGCUUGAACUUGGGGGGCAGAGGUUGCAGUGAGCUGUGAUCACACCACUGUAUUCCAGCCUGGGUGACACAGCAAGACUCCAUCUAGGAAAAAAAAAAAAAAAGAAGUCAACCUAAGAAAUAUAGCCCCUCCAAGGGGGCUCAAGGGACCUCUAGACCAAAGACUGUACUAGCACCCUCAUGCCACCCCUACCUACUAAGGCAUCCCCCAGGGACAUCUCAGAGUUCCUGGAGGCUUCUGUCACUGCCCCAGUUGCACCCCACUCCAAGAAUGUGAUCAUUUCUAUACUUUGGGUAGGUAAUGAUCCCUUUUAGGUGAAACAGAUUUCAAGCCGAACAAACACCUUCAAAAAACAACAGAGGAAAAAAAAUCUUGGUUUUUUUUCCCAAGGACGUUGAGAGAAAACAGGCUCAGAUGGAACCUUGGGUAUCGCAAAGGCCACCCUCAAUGCUGCCUCCUCUGGGGGAAGCUGGGUCAGGCCAGGUCACACCCUGUCCAACCUCAGCUGCUGGCUGUUCUAGAGACCAGAGGCCAAAGGUGGGGGCACUGAGAUUCCUGAGGUUCCUGGCUUGUCAGUUUCAUCUGAAACUGAUUAAAAUGAAAUGCAAACCCAUAUGGCUGGGAAGAAAAGGUCAAGAUUUUGCCCCCACCUCCCACCUCCUCCCAUCCCCUUCCCCUCCUCCCCUCCCUCCCUAGUCCUCAGCAUGCAGCUCUCUGGCUGAAUCCCAUCACCGCUCCAAUUUCCCCUUCACCCGGGCAGCCCCGCACUGAACAGAAACUCCGCAGAAUGGCCCCAUUGUAGACCAGACAAACCAAAAUAGCAGCAUCUUCUGUUCUCCGCCUUAGAGAGAUUCACUUAAAAUCCCGAAGUCCCAGAUGUGGACGACAAUGGAAGCUGUUGUUGCAAAUUAGUGAUCCUGGAACAGCUGAGAGGUGGCUGGCGCCACUGCUUCUCCUCCAUCCAGAUGCUGAGGCCAAGGGGGCUCAAGGGGGCAAGUUGCUUUGAAGCUCCCGGCGCUGACCUCUUGUGCCCCGUCUUGGUGUUGGGAAGCCUCACAGCUGUUCUGGGCCCGCAGAGCCUUCUCCUCGUUGACUUGGGGCUUUUUGGAUCAGGAUGUUGGUGAAGCAGAGUUUUGGCAAGAGCCUUGGCAGCUGCUGCCAGUAAAGAGGCUGAAGGAA